rnacentral:rRNA from 1 species
GCCGACGUCCAUACCACGUUGAAUACACCGGUUCUCGUCCGAUCACCGAAGUUAAGCAACGUCGGGCGCGGUCAGUACUUGGAUGGGUGACCGCCUGGGAACACCGCGUGACGUUGGCU